ACUACCCAAAAAUGGAAUAGGAACAAGUGAAAUACCAGGAACAUCAGAAGAGUAAACAAAGAAAGGGUUUGUAGGGUCAAUGAGUGAAGUAUUAUUAGGAUUCAUAUUUGUUAUCAGAAACAGAACAACAGUGAUGAAGAGAAAUUGGUUCAAUAUCUGUGAACUACUCGAUACACCAGAUUUUCCAGCAAAAACACAUGCAAGCUCUUAAUGAAAGUGAGAAUAGGGUUACUGGACUUUUACGCUACCGGAGAAGAACGACCUUCAAAAUUCAAAGAAAAUCCUAGCUUUGUUCAGUGUAAAUCCAACGCUUCUGAAUCCGUCGGAAUCAACCGCGAAAGGUGUCGGAAUUUUACCUUAAACACCACGCGUGAGAAGGCAACAACAAUCCAUAGAAAAGGGCUGAAAACAUCUCCGAUUUCACCAACAAAUCGCAAAAAAAAUUCAGAAUCACCACCGAUAACUCAAUAAUGCUGGACCGAAAGGACUAAUAACAGAGAGGAGACAUCCGAGAAGAAGAACCACGCUCUGAUACCAUGAAAACAUGGAGAAUCAGAGAUGGAGAGAAGAGAGAGAAACUUCAUCUCUUUCAGAACUGUCUGGAAUAAAAAAUGGAUUCUCUAUUUUCUGUACAAAU
rnacentral:lncRNA from 1 species